rnacentral:lncRNA from 12 species
CACACAAAGAAAACUUUUUCACAUAAUUGUCUUCAUUAAGUGAAAUCAUCAGGGCGGGUGAGAAACAUCCUCGGCCUGAUGCUGCCGUGAAAAUCGUCCCAGGGACUGCUCAGCACACGAAAUUCUGGUUUAUUUUCGUUCCCAGUUGCAGAUGCCAGGGGCUCUCAGAAGGCAGAGGGGGCCUGGCCCAGCGCCCCGCAGCGGCCUGGCCUGCAACGGGAGCGAAGUGGGGCCCGCGGGUGGGGCUCCUGCUCUGGGAUGGUUUGGGCUGGUUUGGGCUGGUUUGGGCUGGUUUGGGGCUGGUUUGGGCUGGUUUGGGCUGGUUUGGGGAUGGUUUGGGGCUGGUUUGGGGCUGGUUUGGGGCUGGUUUGGAGCUGGUUUGGGCUGGUUUGGGGCUGGUUUGGGGAUGGUUUGGGGAUGGUUUGGAGCUGGUUUGGGGCUGGUUUGGUGCUGGUUUGGAGCUGGUUUGGGGAUGGUUUGGAGCUGGUUUGGGUCUGGUUUGGGUCUGGUUUGGGGCUGUUUUGGAACUGUCUUUGGGCUAUUUUGGGGGACAUUUGGAGCUGGUUUGGGGCUGGUUUAGGGCAGUUUUGGGACUGUUUUCGGGCAGGUUUGGGGCUGGUUUAGGGCAGAUUUGGGGUGGGUUUAGGGCUGUUUUAGACCUGGUUUAAGGCUGAUUUGGGGCUGGUUUGGGGCAGGUUUGGAGCUGUUUUGAGGCAGGUUUGAGGCUCUUUCACGGCUGGUUUGGGGCAGGUUUGGGGCUGUUUUGAGGCAGGUUUGGGGCUGGUUUAGAGCAGAUUUGGAGCUGUUUUGGGGCUGUUUUGGGGCUGUUUUGGGGCAGGUUUGGGGUUGUUUUGAGGCAGGUUUGAGGCUGUUUCGGGGCUGUUUUGGGGUGGGUUUAGAGCUGGUUUGGGGGAACAUUUGGGGCUGGUUUGGGGAUGGUCUUGGGCCUAUUUUGGGGGACAUUUGGGGCAGGUUUGGUGCUGAUUUUACACCCCCUGGAUAAACCAAACCUGGUUAGUCCCAGCCCCCUGAGGGACCCAGGCUGCCACAAUCCCCUCCCACCACCUUGUUCAGAGCUCCAAGUGCUGAAAAGAAACUCCCCAAGUCUUCCGCUCGUUUGGCAACCGGCAGGGAAAUAUUUCUGUUUGCACUUAGCAACCCCCUGAAUCAGAAUUUUUAGCUCAAAAUCAGUUUACUGAGCCUUCCCUGUAACUCCACGCUCUUCCGAACAGUUUCACUCUGGCUUCUUGCCUCUCAGAAACCUGCAGGGCUGAGAAAUUCUUUCAGAGCACCUUGCUUGGUUAUUUAAAAAUAAAUUUAUAGGAAAGCCAGGAUAGCACUAAAAAUAUCCCCAAAUUAACAUGGGAGCAUGGAAAUAGCAGUCGAUAAAAUGACAGCAGUAUGUUGGGGAUUUUUUGCUUUAUGACAGAAAACAGACCUGUGUUGUCUGCACACAAAAAUAGGAACUUUACUAUUUUCUGUCUCAAAUUUGAGUUAUAUAUUUCACACUGUAUAUUACAUAUUUAAACUAGAAC